rnacentral:rRNA from 1 species
AUUGAACGCUGGCGGCAUGCUUUACACAUGCAAGUCGAACGGUAACAGGCCGCAAGGUGCUGACGAGUGGCGAACGGGUGAGUAAUGCAUCGGAACGUGCCCAGUCGUGGGGGAUAACGCAGCGAAAGCUGCGCUAAUACCGCAUACGAUCUAUGGAUGAAAGCGGGGGACCGAAAGGCCUCGCGCGAUUGGAGCGGCCGAUGUCAGAUUAGGUAGUUGGGGGGGUAAAGGCUCACCAAGCCAACGAUCUGUAGCUGGUCUGAGAGGACAACCAGCCACACUGGGACUGAGACACGGCCCAGACUCCUACGGGAGGCAGCAGUGGGGAAUUUCGGACAAGGGGCGCAAGCCUGAUCCAGCAAUGCCGCGUGCAGGAAGAAGGCCUUCGGGUUGUAAACUGCUUUUGUACGGAACGAAACGGUCCUGGUUAAUACCUGGGGCUAAUGACGGUACCGUAAGAAUAAGCACCGGCUAACUACGUGCCAGCCGCCGCCGUAAUAC